GCCUCUGGUUGCGUGUUCGCUCUUUGAGGCUGUUAGCUGUGCUCCGCAUCUCGGCGUAGGCGCCGUGAAGGGCGUGGCUGCAUUUUCCUGGGACUGUUUCUAAACUCUUUGCUUUCUGAGGAGAGCACGCACCUGCACGGCCUAGAGCUCAGUGCUUCUGUACUUUGGUUUUAACCCUUUGACUCCCAGCUACCACAGUUUUUGACUCAAGAGCGACUAGAAGUUUUGUCCUGGUUCAAGUGUAGGCCAGUCACCAAGCAGGUUCUUGGAACUUUCGGGGCAACGUCUUGACCACAACCUCCUGAGAGACCCUGAGCCAGGACCAGCUAGCUAGAUGCCAGUGAACUCCUGACCCACAGAGAUUAUGAGGUUGCAUUCCCUGGGACAUAGACUCUGAGACAGAGAUUUGAAUGCAUGAAGUAUACUGGAGAGUACCUUUGGGAUCAAUACUUGUGAUGAUGUUAAGGAAGGAGAAUUGGACAGAAGGAGGAACUGAGCUGUAAUUAAUGGUAUGCUGAUGAAUGUUUAACAACCAGUUCUCUGGAGCAGGGGGAGCCCUGAUCUGUUGCAUUUUCCAGCAUGUGUGUGCGUGUGUACUAAAUCACUUCAGUCGUGUCCAACUCUGCGACUUCAUGGACUGUAGGGCACCAGGCUCCUCUGUCCAUGGGAUUCUCCAGGCAAAAAGACUGGAGUGGGUUGCCAUACCUUCCUCCAGGGGAUCUUCCCAACCCAGGGAUCAAACUCACAUCUCCUGCAGCUAAUGCAUUGUAGGCCAAUUCUCUACUGCUGAGUCACUGGGGAAGCCCUUUCCAGGAUGUAAAUACUUCCAUCUUGGCAAAUUCUAAGCUACCAGCAUGAUGUCACUGAGCAUAGAUCUGCAUAGUAAUACCCAUACAGAUGCAAUAGAUAUAACCUCAAGAGCAUAGAUGUAAUAAAAUGUUUAGGAAGUAAUGAAUAUUGGGUAUUUAUUACCUUGGUUUUGAAUAUAAUUUAUUUAAUUUUAACUUUUAUGUAAUUUAAAUUUUAGUAAUGGGUUAUGGUUAACAACCUGCUUGCAAAAUUCCUAAAAAUGUUAAUUGGCUCCAGUGCUUUACUGACCAUGACCAGUCACAACAAAGAUUUCAGCUCAUACCAUGAAGAGUUCUGAAGUUGGGAUGGCCCUUCAGCAUUGCUCCUCCCUGAGGCAAGGGCCUGGUCACUGAAUGCAGGCAGACCCAGGGGAGAGGGUUAGACCUUGGAUGAGGGAGUUUUCUUUGGCUAAAGGAAAUAUACUCAGAGAAGGACUCAUCCUCCAACAUUCCAGCAACUUGGGGUAUGAGGGUUUCAGUCUCAAAGUGAGUGUCUGGGGAGUAUAUCACAGGAUCCACUACAAUUAAGUAUCUUGUAGUUUAGUCUUAUUCUGCUUUGGGACAGCAUUUUUUUCUGGUAUCUGGUGCUGCAGCUGCUGCUAAGUCGCUUCAGUCGUGUCCGGCUCUGUGCGACCCCAUAGACGGCAGCCCACCAGGCUCUGCCGUCCCUGGGAUUCUCCAGGCAGGAACACUGGAGUGGGUUGCCAUUUCCUGCUGGUAUCUGGUAUACUUUAAUUUGUCAAAACUUGUGACACUUGUUUCUGUUUUGUUUUUUUUUAUCCUAAGUAAUUUUGUAUAGAUACUGAUUUUUUGGUUAUUUUCAUUCAUGUUCAAAUAUGUUGGAUUUUUCUAGGUCACCUUUCUGGGUCACUUUUGGAGAGAAUGGAGAGGUUUUUGUGGGUCUUUUCUGAUUUUUCAGCUCAACCACUCCCUCUCCUGUUGCUAUAGUGAAGAGCAGUUUUCUUAAUUGUAAUGUGUAUGUAGAGCGGUGGUGUUAUUUUGUUUUUUUGUAGUCAGACUUCUGAUUCUCUUGUUCUAUUUUUCAGUGCUUUACUUAUUACAGUAACUAUUUUUCUUUCUUCCAAUUACUACUGGCUACUGCUCCAAGGAACAAUGACUACUUUCCGAAGUGCCUUCUCCACAGGGCACUUCUCUUCCAAAGGGCACUUUGGAAAAAGGGUACUUCUCUUCCAAAGGGCACUUUCCAAAGUGCCUCUUCCAAGGGUCCUUCUCAAGACUACCAUCUUUGUUCCUGUGACUUUUCCGAGCCAUAUAUAUUUUAACAUUUAUUUUUAUUUAUUUAUUUGACUGCUCUGGGUCUUAGUUGCCCAAUGUGGGAUCUUUGAUCUUUGCUGUGAAGUACAGGAUCUUUAUUUAGUUGUGGCAUGUGAAUUGAUUCCUAUGUUUUGACUUCUCUUGCCAGUGCUGAUCUGCCAUUUUUCAGACCAGAUCUCAGCUGUUCCCAAUAAAGUUUGGGUUAUUUCCUCCUUGGACAUGAAUCCUUGUUGAUGUUACUGAGUUCUACCAUCACCAAGACCCUCCAUAUUCCCUUACUCUUUCAAACAGAUUCUGUGACCACAGACAAACUUGUAGGGGUUCUAGAUGGUCUCUUCUGUAUUUUCCUCAACCUGUAUAUAAAAUUGGAGAUUGUAGGAUUUUUUUUUCUGUAUUUAGUAUCCAUUGUAGGAAGUUUUAUUUAUUUUUGGCUGUGCUGGGUCUUCAUUUCCAGUUGUGGAGAGUGAGGGAUAAUCUCUAGUUGUGGUGCAUGGACUUCUCUUUGCAGUGGUUUCUCUUAUUGAGGAGCAUGGACUCUAGGGCGCAUGGCUUCAGUAGCUGCAGCACAUGGGCUCAGUAGUGCGGU